rnacentral:tRNA from 1 species
AUGUUCAUAGCUUAAAUGGAUAAAGCAUUAGGUUACGGCCCUAAAAAUAUGAGUUCGAGUCUCUUUGAACAUA